rnacentral:rRNA from 1 species
GAUAAACGCUGGCGGCGUGCCUAAUACAUGCAAGUCGAGCGAACGGACGAGAAGCUUGCUUCUCUGAUGUUAGCGGCGGACGGGUGAGUAACACGUGGAUAACCUACCUAUAAGACUGGGAUAACUUCGGGAAACCGGAGCUAAUACCGGAUAAUAUUUUGAACCGCAUGGUUCAAAAGUGAAAGACGGUCUUGCUGUCACUUAUAGAUGGAUCCGCGCUGCAUUAGCUAGUUGGUAAGGUAACGGCUUACCAAGGCAACGAUGCAUAGCCGACCUGAGAGGGUGAUCGGCCACACUGGAACUGAGACACGGUCCAGACUCCUACGGGAGGCAGCAGUAGGGAAUCUUCCGCAAUGGGCGAAAGCCUGACGGAGCAACGCCGCGUGAGUGAUGAAGGUCUUCGGAUCGUAAAACUCUGUUAUUAGGGAAGAACAUAUGUGUAAGUAACUAUGCACAUCUUGACGGUACCUAAUCAGAAAGCCACGGCUAACUACGUGCCAGCAGCCGCGGUAAUACGUAGGUGGCAAGCGUUAUCCGGAAUUAUUGGGCGUAAAGCGCGCGUAGGCGGUUUUUUAAGUCUGAUGUGAAAGCCCACGGCUCAACCGUGGAGGGUCAUUGGAAACUGGAAAACUUGAGUGCAGAAGAGGAAAGUGGAAUUCCAUGUGUAGCGGUGAAAUGCGCAGAGAUAUGGAGGAACACCAGUGGCGAAGGCGACUUUCUGGUCUGUAACUGACGCUGAUGUGCGAAAGCGUGGGGAUCAAACAGGAUUAGAUACCCUGGUAGUCCACGCCGUAAACGAUGAGUGCUAAGUGUUAGGGGGUUUCCGCCCCUUAGUGCUGCAGCUAACGCAUUAAGCACUCCGCCUGGGGAGUACGACCGCAAGGUUGAAACUCAAAGGAAUUGACGGGGACCCGCACAAGCGGUGGAGCAUGUGGUUUAAUUCGAAGCAACGCGAAGAACCUUACCAAAUCUUGACAUCCUUUGACAACUCUAGAGAUAGAGCCUUCCCCUUCGGGGGACAAAGUGACAGGUGGUGCAUGGUUGUCGUCAGCUCGUGUCGUGAGAUGUUGGGUUAAGUCCCGCAACGAGCGCAACCCUUAAGCUUAGUUGCCAUCAUUAAGUUGGGCACUCUAAGUUGACUGCCGGUGACAAACCGGAGGAAGGUGGGGAUGACGUCAAAUCAUCAUGCCCCUUAUGAUUUGGGCUACACACGUGCUACAAUGGACAAUACAAAGGGCAGCGAAACCGCGAGGUCAAGCAAAUCCCAUAAAGUUGUUCUCAGUUCGGAUUGUAGUCUGCAACUCGACUACAUGAAGCUGGAAUCGCUAGUAAUCGUAGAUCAGCAUGCUACGGUGAAUACGUUCCCGGGUCU